CCCAGCAGGCGGGUUUCUCUAGCUUUUCGUCAAGACCGCAUGCCCUAGAGACUGUCGGAGUUUUUGUACUGCCUUCUGGAACUCGUAGUCCUUUAAGGACGCGAAGGGGGCUUAUGCCGCGGGCAGGUUACCGGGGGUGGACUGCAUUUCCCAGGGUGCAUGAAGAAACCGAGGCGCUGAGGAGGGCGGGAGGACUGUUUCCAUAGCAAAGGCGGCUGGUUGGGGCCGGCUGACUGAGAAAUGGGGCAGGCCGCGGGACCCUCGGAUUGUGCGUGACUACCGGCAGCCUCUUGGGAGGGCGUUUCGAUUUUUUUUUUUUUUUUUUUUUUUUUUUUUUGUCGUUCUCGGCACCCUCCACGGGACUCUGGGCCUCAGUUUUCCUACCCGAGAAGAAAGGUGUGGAGCCGUCCCCCUGCCCACAGUCCGCGGUGAUGGGGCAAACCGAGGUCGAGCCGCUCUGGUUUGCCCAGCAAAGGUUCUACAGAUACUGAGGUGGCAGCUCAUCCCUGUGGUUCCCGUGUGGCCCCAGUUCUGCCCUCUGAAGCUCAGAGCCCACAUACCAGAUGUUACGGAACCUCUUUACCUUGGCUGCCCCUCUCUGCAAAUAUGUGGCCAGACUAGAAUGUUCAAGCCCGGACAAGGAAACUGAGGCCUAUAGAGGUUCUAAGACUAGCCCAAGGUCACACAGCCAGUAAGUGGGAGAGAUGGGCCAGCCAUCCACUGUCAGAGCCUGAGUACUGCCCUUCCUACUGCCCAUUCUACUGUGGAACAUCUCUGGCUAUUGAAACGUUUUCUCUCACAUGGAGCUAAAAAUCUCCUUCUCACUAAACUGCAGGAUGAACCUUCAGGACUGAGUCUCCUUUGGAUUUGCCCAGCUAGUGACUACAACUGAAGCCCUGAGACAUGUACUCCUUGGGACCAGGAAAGGUAAGAAGGGCAUCCUGAAAAUCCUUCCUGAAGAUGAUAAGACUUGGCAUCAUUUCGAGAGGCUUAUUUGUCAUUGAUACUGCCCCAGGAGCUGGGGGAAUUGAGUGGCACCUGAGGAUAAUGAACUAAGGACACCUCUGGCUCAGAACUUGAGAAAAUCCCUCUGGACCCAAAGAGGCCACAAGCCCACAGAUUAAAGCCCAAAUUCUACAGAAAUGAAUUUUUGUCACACCUCCUCAAGGGCCGAGAAAAGUGGGAGAGAACAUGGAGAUCCUUUUCAGUGUGACUGUCCUAAGGAACAGGCUGCCCAGAGUUUCAGACCCAGUACCUAGAACAGGACUUUAAACCUGGUAAUACCCAAAAAACACUUGGAAAGUAAAUGAAUACCUUUCAGUCUGGUGAUUGAAUUGGAACAGCUCAGUAAGGAGAAGAAAUGCCCUCGAGGCGUGACCGACAUGGACUCUCACUGAAAAUCAUGGGUCCCGACCCCAAGAGUGCCCCUCUUUAGACCCAAGGGCUUCAGGGAACCUCAGUGGAGUCAGCUGGGGAAGGGCCACCAAGUAGUUUCAACCAAAACUGCAAGCAUACUCAAAAAUUUCUCAACCAAAGCACACUACAAAACAUAAGCAGAUUCUGAAAAGUCCCCAUUGCGUCUCAUAUAUUACAUAGUGCCAUGUGACUUCUAUUUGUGUGUUUUUAUUUUUUUAAGUUUGUUACUUAUUUUUUUAGUUAUCUCUACACCCAGUGUGCGGCUGAAACUCCUGAUCCCAAGAUCAAGAGUCACAUACUCUUCCGACUGAGCCAGGCAGGCACCCCUGUUUCUGGGAAAAUGGGAUCUGGUUUUAGGAAGCCACAGGAUCCCAUCUUGCUGCCCUAACACCUGACCUGGGGCAUCUGUUAGCUCUUGACAUUGAACACCCAUCCACUCUGGAACUGGGCAUAGAGAUUAAGAUGGUUUUCAAAAACUUGGAGGAAGAGACUAUUUUGCUGAAGAAAAAAACAUUAUUCUUCUUACUAAGAAGAGUUUUCAAAGAAACUGGACAUUGUGUCCAAGGUACCAACUUCUUCAUAAAGAAAAUUGGGGAGGCACUCUUUCCUCUAAGCCUUCACAACUAAGAUGGAAACAUGAAGGUUGGAAUGGUUUGUUACUAAUCUAUGUUUAUAAAAGGAGUAUCUAGAACACCCAGUAGCUGUGUGAGAGCACCGAGGGGCUCAUUCCUGCUGUUGAGAGAGAGGUCUAAGGUGAUGCAGAGGGGGCUCCUUCGACCUUUGGUGAUGGAGUUCCCAUUGUUUUUGUCCUGGCUUUGUUGUGACCCAUAUCCACGAAGCUACACACCCACAGGGCAUGGACUAGCUGUGCCUUGUCCACUUGUGAGCUCUACAGUGCCCAUUCUUGGGCUUGGCAUAGGUAGAUGUUCCCUAAGUGCUUCCAGAAUUUCAUUGAAUUAUCCCUGCAGCUCAGGUAGUGGAUACUUACGUGACAGGUCACAUAGUGCUGUUGGCAAAAGCUCUUCCUUCUCCUGGCUGUCUCAGAAGCGAGGUCUUUGGAGGAGGGCAUGUGUCACUCUGGGUCCUAGACUGCAACCAGCCGGCACCGUUGAUCCCAGGGCUGUCUCAGUCCAUCGACUCACCCAGAGCCCCAGAGCCCCAGAGCCACGUGCAACAAGCAAAUGGGAAGUUGGCUUUCCUUUUUCUUCCUGUCUUUGAUCCUUUCCUUCCACUCUUAACUGGUGGAGCACCAGAUGGGCCAGCCAGUGUUCUAGAUGCUGGGACCACAAGGCAGGACCUUGUUUGGAAAGCUCUUUAUUGAAGUGCACAGAGAAAGAGAUCGAUUCUUUGCUUCUCAGAGAGAUAAGCUGAGGGGACUUUAUUACAAGUUACCCAGGGAAGUGGAUGUUCACCACUGUGGGCCUUCUGGCAUCCAUUUCUUAUUCCCUUUGAUGACAUAUUACACACUUUAUUUGAAUGUUCAUCUUUCCCCCAUGCAGCCUCUAGACUUCCCACCCUCCUCCAGCUACACAGGCAGGUCUUGAUAGAGUGAAACCAAUCAGCAUGUCCCAUCCACCUGGCCUCAGCAAUUGGCCAAUGGGUAGACACCAGACCCAAUCUGGAUCAACUGGACCGGAGGGACUUUUGAUGGGUCCUUGGGAAGAUGGUUUCUUGAUCAUGGGGAGAAAGACCCACAGACUCUUCUGUGUGGUCAGAGUGUGGACAUGGGUUUGGAACAGCUUUGACUUCUUUACAGCCUUGAGUGUGGCUCAGCUAGGGAUGAAGCCCAUAGCCAGAGCUAGGCAGGCCUGAGAGAAUCCCAGAGCAGUGGAGUCAGCACCCUGCCUGAACCUCGGCUGGCACCUCGGCCACCUCUGGACUCUGAGGCUAUGUGAGCCAAUCCACUCUCUUUAUUGUGUGAUUUAGUUUGGAUUGGGUCAUCUGUGUCCUGCAGCUGAAAGCAUACUCGCUGAUCUCACCGAAGAGGAAUUUCAAAUCUGGUUUCUUGACCUUGAAAGGCAGUCUGGGUUUGGGGAAGGAGGGGCAGGCACUGGUUAGUGACCCAUCCAAGGACCAACAGCCUUGUGUCCCCAGCUCAGGAGAAGUGGGAAGGAGACCUGAAUAUGGAUAGAAAAGUCUAGGCAGGUGGGGUGAGGGGAGGGCUGGUGCCAGGGUCCCUCGCCCCCAGCCUUGGCUGGCAGCUGCUGCAGUUUAACUCCACCUGACUAGUAAAUGCAGAGUGCAGUCCACCUAAAGAAAUCAGAGCAGCUGCCACUUCAAAGCAGGAGAUGUGUGUAGGUGGGUGGGGAGGAGGCGGAUAAUUAUGCAGGGAAAAUACUUUUCUUGAUGUUCUUCUGGAAAUGUGCAUGGAGCACAGGGAGCAGCAGGAGAGACCACGGGAAAGGGAAAAUGUAUUAGUAGAGGAUAUGCAUUGUACCUCUCCAAAGGGGCAUAGGUUGGGAUUUGCAGCCGGUCCCAUGCUCAUCUGACCACAGCACCCUUUUAUGGGAAGCAUCUGAGACUCCAUGGGACACCACCAGAUAUGGGACUUCAUCCACGAGUGACUGAGGGAUUUGUUGGGAAUGAUUGAGUCCACCUUUGUAUGUGUGUUUGUACAACACACUGGCUCUUCCUCAUGACCAGGAGGCUGGGUGCCGUUUGCAUUUUCUCACGCUCUGGAGAAGGAGAAGGGAACUCGGGCCUAGCAGGAGAGGAGGCUGCAACGUGCCAGGGAGAGCUAGGGCCUCUAUGUGCCAUCUCUCUGCCCCACUGGGGAUCUGCCCACAGACUCCACGUACUGUGCAUGCUUUGAGUGGCAGAGGGACACCACUGAAAUUUCAGAAGCAGCUCUGAGUCUGUGAACGUUGGAUGCCAACAAUUAUCCAGCUGUGAGUAAGCUGAACAUUUCUUAGGGCCAUUUUUGUGUAAUUAUAAAUAUUUGAGGAUGUUAAGCUCCCAGGUUACAUAUUGAGGGUAUUAUUUGAGCAAUGGCUGGCUGCCAGCUGGAAAUGCAAACACCCUUUCAUUCCCCUCUCCUGGAGCACUUAGAAUAUUUUAUGGGAUUCAAAAGAAAAAAGUUUCAGUUGAGAAAAACAACAACAACUGGAAACAAAGUCAGUUGCUAAUAUUUCUAAAUAGCUCUAAAUCAAAAAAGAGGAAUGUGACCAUUUUACUUAAUUGUGGUGGGUUUGUGAUGCAUUUUCUCUAUGGGUUAGGAAAGCAAUUACCAUCAAACAACCUACUUGUGCCUCCAUUGUGAUAAAUGUUCCCUCUAAUGGGGUUGACAUGCCAGGCAGAGGGCCUUUUAAAGCACUUAAUGCUUCAGGAAGUGUUUGCACGUGUGCAGCUCCUUGGCGUGCACUGAGAGCCCAUGACUGGCUCCCUCUAAGGAUAUAUCGUGGUGCAGGGGGUUCUUAAUAGGAGAUAGGUCCUUUGAAGCAGCAGCUGAGGCCUGGGGCAUGAAUGACGUCUCUGUUGCCCUGUCUCUGUCCAGGGCCCCACGUGAGGCCUUGGGGCCUGUCCAGCCCUCGUACCCUUGGUCACCCUAUCCUGUCCAGCCAACCUGAGAAGUCUUAUAUCACCUCACCUGCCCCCAUCUGCAUUCCUCCCACCCUGGAAAACACGGGCCAUCUCCCACCAACACAUGUACAACCUCUCCUUCCAUCUUCUGCCUGGAACCUGACCCCUCCUGCUAAGCUUCCCCAUACCCCCUGAGCAUUGACACUCAUUCUCCAGACCCCCAGUACUCCCAGAGACCAUAGCUUCUGUGCCCUUGAACAACCCCACCCAGCCUCUGAGGUUCCUGCAUGCUGUUCCCCCCUUUCUCAGCCGUUGCUCUGGGCCCUGGCUUACCCUUUCUCACCUAAAGAACUGCCUUCAUCUUGGGUAACUUUAACAUGGUGUGAAUGGCCCAUUGCACUGGCCAGGUCAGAGACUUCCUUGAUACCCUUCCACUUGCUUUCACAACCAGGCUGCCAUGUCCAGACCUGGCAAUCUUAGCCAUUAGGUGACACCUUGGCCACAGUGAGCGCCCUGUAUCUCCCCUACCCUCUGCUCCUGCGGAGGCCUCUGGUCCCCAGCCCCAAGGAUUUUGUGGCCUCAUUUCUGGCUGGGACGCUGUGGCCAUCCCUCUUACUCUGUCUAGGGCUCCUGAACCCCAUCAUCUCCAUCCCUCAGCCCAGGAGCUGCCAUCUAAGGCCCCUGCUUGGGCACGGAGCUGCUGCUUGGCGACCCUACUAGCCAGCCCCGGAGGGAAUCCUGACCGUGCAGCCUCCCACGCCCCUACCCCUCCCUGCCUUCUGUCCCCAGUUCCUAAGGUCACAGCGAAACGUCCGUGAAAACGUGUUAAUAGUAAAAUA